AGGGAACUCAAAAUAGGUGUGUGGCCUCUAGUCACCAAAUGGCUUCUUGGCUCUGCUUUAAAUUUAGGCCCACUCAGCCACUUAAGAUCCAUCUUGAAGGACUGGCUCUUUCAGGGUCACAUUUGUUCAUGCAAACUAUUGAUAUUGCAUGCUAUUUACCACUAUUUCAGAUGAAAUUGCCACAGGAUAUAAAUCAUUGGACUAUUUAAGAGAGCAAAGGCUUUUGGAAGCUGCCACAGUUUCAUUCCCAGGUCCUCCACUUACCAGCAAUGAGACUUCAUGUGACCU
rnacentral:lncRNA from 1 species